rnacentral:rRNA from 1 species
GAUGAACGCUAGCUACAGGCUUAACACAUGCAAGUCGAGGGGCAGCAUGAACUUAGCUUGCUAAGUUUGAUGGCGACCGGCGCACGGGUGAGUAACACGUAUCCAACCUGCCGAUGACUCGGGGAUAGCCUUUCGAAAGAAAGAUUAAUACCCGAUGGCAUAGUUCUUCCGCAUGGUAGAACUAUUAAAGAAUUUCGGUCAUCGAUGGGGAUGCGCUCCAUUAGGUUGUUGGCGGGGUAACGGCCCACCAAGCCUUCGAUGGAUAGGGGUUCUGAGAGGAAGGUCCCCCACAUUGGAACUGAGACCCGGUCCAAACUCCUACGGGAGGCAGCAGUGAGGAAUAUUGGUCAAUGGACGAGAGUCUGAACCAGCCAAGUAGCGUGAAGGAGGACUGCCCUAUGGGUUGUAACCUUCUUUUAUACGGGAAUAAAGUGAGGCACGUGUGCCUUUUUGUAUGUACCGUAUGAAUAAGGAUCGGCUAACUCCGUG